rnacentral:rRNA from 1 species
CCUACGGGGGGCUGCAGUGGGGAAUAUUGGACAAUGGGGGCAACCCUGAUCCAGCCAUGCCGCGUGUGUGAAGAAGGCCUUAGGGUUGUAAAGCACUUUCAGUGAGGAGGAAAAGUUAAGGGUUAAUACCCCUUAGCCCUGACGUUACUCACAGAAGAAGCACCGGCAAACUCCGUGCCAGCAGCCGCGGUAAUACGGAGGGUGCGAGCGUUAAUCGGAAUUACUGGGCGUAAAGCGCGCGUAGGCGGUUUGUUAAGCCGGUUGUGAAAUCCCUAGGCUCAACCUAGGAACUGCACCCGGAACUGGCAGGCUAGAGUACAGUAGAGGAAGGUGGAAUUCCAAGUGUAGCGGUGAAAUGCGUAGAUAUUUGGAGGAACAUCAGUGGCGAAGGCGGCCUUCUGGACUGAUACUGACGCUGAGGUGCGAAAGCGUGGGGAGCAAACAGGAUUAGAUACCCGAGUAGUC